ensembl:ncRNA lncRNA:CR45295 long non-coding RNA:CR45295
AUUUAUUUCUUGGUCUGGAUAUAAUAUGACCAACACUAGUUGAUCCUGGCCGAAAUGAAGAGUACCAAUGAGACACACUUGCCUUUGGCACGGGGGCGUUGCCCAGAUAGGCGUGGCACUCGGCUGGGUAUUGUAUAUGUUGCAGCUAGAUGCACUGCUGAUACAGCCGACUAUCUGCAACUGCAACACUGUUUGCAAUCAAUUAUGCCGGAUGGGUGAUAGCCACCAAUGCCAGACGCAUGCCCACAUGAUGCAGUGUGCAGCUGUCAGGAGUCGGAAGACCAUCAUCGAUGGCAGGCGAACCAUAAAGAUCCGAUUCCAUUCGAUUUGGAGCACUCAGGAUUUUAUCCCGGACUAAGUUCAUUUAGGGACGGGUGUACGCAACGUG